rnacentral:lncRNA from 1 species
GGGAUAUUCAUUGUCAAACGUGCAUUAGUGCCUUGUUUCUUUUGAUCAUUUAUAUUUGACAAAAUCCAAUAGCAUAUCUAUGGAAGGGCAUUAAAACUGCUUCCAGAUUUGUGAUUCAGUGAUGGGUGAGCUCUGACGAGGUUGCUGAACAGGAUUCUCAACAGGUUGAAACAUAAGAGUGGAAGAGCAACUGUAUUGAAAUUCUUAAUGGGGCUUUUACACUUGUAUAUUUCAUUACAGGUGGGAAAACUGGAAAGAUUGAAUGUCCUUUGGAGUUCACAGAGGUUUGGCAGUGGGAGGAGAAAAACAAAACGAAGCAUAGUGGGAGUGUUGAACAGACUUUCCCAAGAUCCCCAGGAAAAGCAAAGCUACUAUAAGAACUCACUACAUCAACGCGUAUUCAUUAUUGAGACCAUCCUAGGAGAGCUGCAUCAUCACAGGCUGCUCUGAGGUCUGUGCCCAAUCAAGCAAAGAACAACGGAGAUAAUCACACUGUGCAGAGGGUGACCAAUUUAGAAAAAAAGGACUCUUAAGAAGAUCGUCCAACUUCCUUAAAUGACUUUCAUUAAUUUUACACCUUUUGCCAAUUAAUUGCACUUAUGAGCCUUGCUUGUCAAUUACUGCAUUCUCACUUUCAGCAAUUGAACUAAUCUUUGCCUAUUCAUAUUUUGUUUUUUAAAUAGGUAUUUCCAAUUAUUGAUAUAAAUCUUUAUGAUUACAUUACAAAUGUCUGACCAUAUUUAUUCAUUCUUCAUAGAGACAAAAUAAAGGUUCUAUUAUCUACACUUAAAACAUGUUGUACUUUUUUCUUUACAGCACAACUUACAAUAUUGUCCUUAUUUGGUGAUUAUUUUAAAACAAACAUAUUCCAUUUAAAAUACAAGCUCAACAACUACAGAUACAUUUAUGUUUGUAUGUGUAUAUAUAUAUAUACACACACACACACACACACGUAUUUUUCUUAUUCUGUUUUCAGUGUCUGCCUGCAUACAUG